rnacentral:lncRNA from 1 species
UUUUUAUGAAUAAAAUUAGAUAUUUUGGAUAGGGAUUGUUUGUUAUGGAAUUUAGGUGAAAAAGGUUUUAAUCAGUUUAUGGAAUUUUAUAGUAUUUUUAGUUAUUUAGGACUUUUGUUAAAGGGAAAAGUUCGAAAAUAAAAAUCGAUGUGCAGUCUCUCUCGAGGACAGAUAAGUUUCAACUAAGUUUGUAGUGAAGUACUUCGAUUAGGACACACGUACUUUACACAAAAG